UGGUUCAUGCAAGUUGCAAAAAAACUGAUCAAACUAUUUUGAAUGUUUAGAAUUUAUAAAUUGUGCUGUAUGUUGCUCACUCAUGUGUAGACUAGGGCUGAGACACUGCUGUAUAGUAUGAUAACAUAAGCAUUGAGAUACCUGAUUCACUAUAGCAUGCAUACCACUAGAUAUUUUGUCAUAGCAUGGAGAAAGUUUAACCGGUUUUCUAAAGUAAAAAAAAGUUUUUCCAAAUUAUCCUUGAUGUACCAGUAAUUUAUACUCCCAUUCAAUAUAAAUACUGUGGACCCCUUGCUCCCAUAGGUUUGUUUUGAAAGUGACAUCAUGUCAGUGCUGCCUAACAGCUUUCAAAAGAAUUUCUGUCAUACCUAUGUACAUGUACUUUCAUUGGACAGCUAUUUAUCACAUUGUUUUGAUUGAAUCCAACUCCAAACGAAGGUUUGGUAUCAAGAUUGCCCAACGUAUUCAUUAUCAUAUGUAUGUGAUACAGACAUAUUGUCCAUCAGUAUGAUCGUAUGGAAAUUCACACAUGAUGUUUUACAGUGUGAUGUUUGGCAUCAAUGGAUACUUCCAGCCUUAUUGUUGAAUGUCUUUGACUGUUAGGUACUGGUCUGUCAGUGACAUAAUGACACAGUGUUACUGCUUCUAACUGCUACAAGUCUCAUGUUUGUCACAUAGAUACCUUCUGUUAUAUUUCCUUCAUCUUUAUUAAAUGAUUUGUUGAACGUGAAAACAUUUAUUUUAUAAGAAUGUUAAUUUCUUGAUGAAGAAUAUGUUGUUUGUGUGAAUGUGGAAAUGGCAAGUGAUCAAAGUUUAUGAUCGACUGAAACUCAGUAGUGUGAAAAUUAUCUUACAGAUAGAUACUUUCCUCAAAGUUAUUUAUGUCAUCCCAUAGUGGGUGACUGUAGAACUCCUGUAUAGUGGAGGAGAUUAUUGGAAAAGCAUGUGUUGGAGAUGUUAAUGGUCCUAUCCACAUGUUACACUUGACUUGCCUUGACGUCCUACAUUCAGCUGGAGGUGCUAUACCAUUGUUCUUCACAGCUGAGCAGGAUGUUCUAGUGUCACACAUCAACCAUCCUCGAUAAUCUCCAGGGUAUACGUUAUGAUAAAUCUCCACCAACGAAUCAAGGGUAUAACCUGGAGAUUAUUGAGGAUGCACAUCAACAUGUAUAUAAAGAAUACCGGACUAUCUCAGCCAUGUUCAGAUAUGUUGACAACUGUGUAAAGGACACAUUCUCUGUUUGUUUGAUGUACCAUGAGAAUGGUUUGUUAGUAUUCCAACAUUGUUAUAAGUCAGAAAACCCUGAAGGCCUUGGCCAAAGUGAGCUAUUACAACACUGAAACCAGUGAACAGUUGCAGUAUUCCAACCUUGUCCACCAUAGCAUCAUUUCUGUCAGGUUCCAGCUAGAUGAGCUCAGCAACAGUUCAACCAGGUGUGCCGUAGCCACACUCCUGGCAGAUGAGCUACAGCUUCAUCCUUGUCAUGUGUGCUAGAGUAUCAUUUACCCUCCUAAUUUAGGGAGGUAUAUUUUGUACGUAAAAUAGAGUCAACUGUAGAUUUAAUGAAAAGUAGACUUUAGAUGCAAAUAGGUUCAAAAUUGUAGAAAUAUUGCCAAUAUGUACUCCCGCAAUGGUUAUCAACAUAUCCCAUGUGAAUCGUUUUGUUGAAAAAAAAUCUGUUUGACUUUGGUAUGUUGGGAGCUGAGUGUAUUGUCUCAUGUGCUUUGCAUUUACUAACAAGGACAAGUUCUUAGUUUGUUGGUUAGUAUCUUGUAUAUUCACGAAUACCAGCUGAUUCAGAGUGCUACGUUUGUGACAGCAAUGUGAGCUGUACCUGCCCUGCUGUAUUACUUAUAUUGUUAUGUAUUUAUCAUGCUGCAGAACGCACUGUAGAUAUGCGACCCAGUAUCUGAGGCAAUGGUGAGAAAAUAAACAAUGUCAUAACUUA